CCACACCUUAAAAAACCAUCCACGUGAACCGUAUCGUCAAAACAUUUGGGGACUCCUUGCUAGCGGGCUUUCGGGCUUGCCGGUCGGUUGAGACCUAACACGAGAGCCUUGGCUGAAAAGCCGGGGUGAGUAGUUUCUUUUUAAACCCUUUACUAAAAACUGAAAAACUGUGGGGACGAAAGUCCUUGCUUUUACUAGAUAGCAACUUUCAGCAGUGGAUGUCUAGGCUCGCACAUCGAUGAAGAACGCUGCGAACUGCGAUACGUAAUGCGAAUUGCAGGAUUCAGUGAGUCAUCGAAAUUUUGAACGCAUAUCGCACUUCCGGGUUAUGCCUGGAAGUAUGCCUGUAUCAGUGUCCGUAUAUCAAACUUGCCUUCCUUCCUUCCGUGUAGUCGGUGGAUGGGAACGUGCAGAUGUGAAGUGUCUUGGCGGCGUCGCUUUGGCGGUGCUGGCGAGUCCUUUUAAAUACAAGAUACUGUUCUUCUCUUUGCUCGAAAAGCGUGUGGGAUGUGGUUGUGGAGGCUGCCUGCGUGGCAUGUCGGCGACUGAUUUCGUGCUGAGGCGUUGGAGGUGGGCUUGAUUCGCGGUAUGGUUGGCUUCGGCUGAACUUCUGCUUAUUGGGUUCUAAUCUUGCUUUGGCGUAUGCGGGGUCGGUGUACCGUAGUCGUGUGGGCUUGGCUUUUGAACCGUGUUUUGCGUGCGAAGUAGAGUGGCCGUGUGGUUUUCGGACUGCGUGGCCGAGGGAACGAGACCUUUUGGGAAAUUGUGCUGCUACUUUUGUGGCGGCAUCUCGAUGGACCGAAUCUGCUGCUCAUCAUCC
rnacentral:rRNA from 1 species